CACGUAGGAGGCAAGCGUUAUCCGGAUUUAUUGGGCGUAAAGGGCAAGUAGGCGGUGGCCAAAGUUGGGCAUGACAUCUCCCGGCUCAACUGGGAGGGUGUGUUCAAAACUCGGUCACUAGAGGGCAGGAGAGGGAAGCGGAAUUUCCAGUGUAGCGGUGGAAUGCUCAGAUAUUGGAAAGAACACCAGUGGCGAAGGCGGCUUCCUGGCCUGCACCUGACGCUGAGAGGCGAAAGCUAGGGUAGCAAAC
rnacentral:rRNA from 1 species